rnacentral:tRNA from 1 species
GGAGGAGUCGCAUAGCUUGGUCCAUUGCGGAAGAUUGCUAAUCUUCUGAGCUGAAUAAGCUCGCGUGGGUUCGAAUCCCACCUCCUCCG